GACAGAGGGGGCAAGCGUUGCUCGGAAUCACUGGGCGUAAAGGGCGCGUAGGCGGGAUGGCAAGUCAGUCGUGAAAUCUCUCGGCUCAACCGAGAAACGUCGGCUGAUACUGCCGUUCUUGAGGGAUGCAGAGGAGACUGGAAUUCCCGGUGUAGCGGUGAAAUGUGUAGAGAUCGGGAGGAACACCGGUGGCGAAGGCGGCCUUCUGGACGGAAACUGACGCUGAGACGCGAAAGCGUGGGGAGCAAACAGG
rnacentral:rRNA from 1 species